UACGAAGGGGGCUAGCGUUGUUCGGAAUCACUGGGCGUAAAGCGCACGUAGGCGGGUUCUUAAGUCAGGGGUGAAAUCCCGAGGCUCAACCUCGGAACUGCCUUUGAUACUGGGAAUCUUGAGUUCGGGAGAGGUGAGUGGAAUUGCGAGUGUAGAGGUGAAAUUCGUAGAUAUUCGCAAGAACACCAGUGGCGAAGGCGGCUCACUGGCCAGAUACUGACGCUGAGGUGCGAAAGCGUGGGGAGCAAACAGG
rnacentral:rRNA from 1 species